GCAGAAAUCUUAGAGCCUGCCUUCAAAGUGUAUCAUGGGAGAGAUGAGAAAGUCUGCAAACAAAUAUAACAUAUGCUGACGAAGGCCCAGCCCCAGCCACUGCCUUGGAAUCAUGGUCUUCUAAGACUCAGAGACCACCAGAUUCUCAGGUAGAUCUCUUAGUAUGAGACAUCAAGAACCCCUCUGUUGCUAAACACCAUUCUCCUGUUGUCAUCCAAUUACUGGACUCUACCAGAUGGAAAAGAUUUCAUAACAGUUUUGUGCCUGUUGCAUAAAAUCCUGGAUGUUCAGAGUACCAUUUACUCAGACUACAGCACCAUUAAUGUCUAAGUCAUGUGACAGUAAAACGUCCUCAUUCUUUCCAACUAUCUUUCCAAAUUCCAAACUGUUGCAUUUUUUUUCAUGUUUCACAUUAUUACCUGAAACAGGGAUGUGCUGACACAGAGAAAUCAAUUUGAGACUCUUAUUGGACUACAUUUUCUGUUAUUUCUUGUUCUUAAUAAUUAAAAAAAAAAUCAGUGUA